GUGCUCAUUUGGGCAGCACCUUUACUAAAAUUGGAAUGAUACGGAGAAGAUUAGCAUGGCCCCCCGUGCAAGGAUGAUUGGCAAAUUUGCUUAUUCUUCCUUUGU
ensembl:snRNA U6 U6 spliceosomal RNA